rnacentral:rRNA from 1 species
UACGUAGGGUGCGAGCGUUGUCCGGAAUUAUUGGGCGUAAAGAGCUCGUAGGCGGCUUGUCACGUCGGGUGUGAAAGACCGGGGCUUAACCCCGGUUCUGCAUUCGAUACGGGCUGGCUAGAGUGUGGUAGGGGAGAUCGGAAUUCCUGGUGUAGCGGUGAAAUGCGCAGAUAUCAGGAGGAACACCGGUGGCGAAGGCGGAUCUCUGGGCCUUACCUGACGCUCAGGCGCGAAAGCUAGGGGAGCGAACUGG